rnacentral:rRNA from 1 species
GAGUUUGAUCAUGGCUCAGAACGUACGCUGGCGGCACGCCUAACACAUGCAAGUCGAACGAAGUAGCAAUACUUAGUGGCAGACGGGUGAGUAACAUGUGGGUAUCUGCCCUUUGGCCUGGAAUAACACGAGGAAACUUGUGCUAAUACUGGAUAAGUCUUUACGGAGAAAGCUUUAUGCACCAUUGGAUGAGCCCGCACUUGAUUAGUUUGUUGGUGGGGUAAUGGCCUACCAAGACUUUGAUCAAUAGCUGAUUUGAGAGGAUGAUCAGCCACAUUGGGACUGAGACACGGCCCAAACUCCUACGGGAGGCAGCAGUGGGGAAUCUUGCACAAUGGAGGAAACUCUGAUGUAGCGAUGCCGCGUGAGUGAAGAAGGCCCUUGGGUUGUAAAGCUCUUUCGUCGGGGAAGAAAAUGACUGUACCCGAAUAAGAAGGUCCGGCUAACUUCGUGCCAGCAGCCGCGGUAAUACGAAGGGACCUAGCGUAGUUCGGAAUUACUGGGCUUAAAGAGUUCGUAGGUGGUUGAAAAAGUUGGUGGUGAAAUCCCAGAGCUUAACUCUGGAACUGCCAUCAAAACUUUUCAGCUAGGGUUUGAUAGAGGAAAGCAGAAUUUCUAGUGUAGAGGUGAAAUUCGUAGAUAUUAGAAAGAAUACCAAUUGCGAAGGCAGCUUUCUGGAUCAUUACUGACACUGAGGAACGAAAGCAUGGGUAGCGAAGAGGAUUAGAUACCCUCGUAGUCCAUGCCGUAAACGAUGUGUGUUAGACGUUGGAAAUUUAUUUUCAGUGUCGCAGCGAAAGCGAUAAACACACCGCCUGGGGAGUACGACCGCAAGGUUAAAACUCAAAUGAAUUGACGGGGACCCGCACAAGUAGUGGAGCAUGUGGUUUAAUUCGAAGAUACGCGCAGAACCUUACCAACACUUGACAUGUUCGUCGCGACUUUAAGAGAUUAAAGUUUUCGGUUCGGCCGGACGAAACACAGGUGCUGCAUGGCUGUCGCCAGCUCGUGUCGUGAGAUGUUGGGUUAAGUCCCGCAACGAGCGCAACCCUCACUUUUAGUUGCCAUCAUUUAGUUGGGCACUCUGAAAGAACUGCCAGUGAUAAGCUGGAGGAAGGUGGGGAUGACGUCAAGUCCUCAUGGCCCUUACGUGUUGGGCUACACACGUGCUACAAUGGUAUUUACAAAAGGAAGCAAGACGGCGACGUUAAGCAAAUCCUUAAAAAAUACCUCAGUUCGGAUUGCACUCUGCAACUCGAGUGCAUGAAGCUGGAAUUACUAGUAAUCGUGGAUCAGCGUGCCACGGUGAAUGCGU